GUGAUUGACAUAGAGUAUGCAGUGGCUGACACAGAGUAUGCACCGGCUGAUGUAGCGCCUGAAGUACGGAGAUCAUUGGACGAGGAACCUGCAAUUUCAGAGGAAUGGCAACGAGCUGUAAGGUGCCCGAUCUGCAUGGAUUUUUUUUCACAGAUUAUACGAAGUGUCCGACAGGUUGUGUCAACCCAGUGUGGCCAUCUCUUCUGCAGUCGGUGCAUCGCUGUUGCCCUUGAGAAUUCCAGGGCUUGCCCAACCUGCAGAACAGAACUCCCUCCCAGAGACUAUCAUCCCGUUUAUUUCUGAGUAUUUCUGUUUCUCAGGACAGAAGUAUCCCCCCCAGUCAGAUGGAUUUUCGGGGGUAGGUGGCAGA